GGCGGCAUGCCUAAUACAUGCAAGUCGAGCGAACAGACGGGAGCUUGCUCCCUGAUGUUAGCGGCGGACGGGUGAGUAACACGUGGGUAACCUGCCUGGAAGACUGGGAUAACUCCGGGAAACCGGGGCUAAUACCGGAUGCUUGUUUGAACCGCAUGGUACAAAAAUAAAAGGGGGCUUUUAGCUACCACUUACAGAUGGACCCGCGGCGCAUUAGCUAGUUGGUGAGGUAACGGCUCACCAAGGCGACGAUGCGUAGCCGACCUGAGAGGGUGAUCGGCCACACUGGGAUUGAGACACGGCCCAGACUCCUACGGGAGGCAGCAGUAGGGAAUCUUCCGCAAUGGACGAAAGU
rnacentral:rRNA from 1 species